GGUAGCUAGUUUUGUGUCAAGCGCAGGAUUUCUGCGCUAGCAGGAAAUGAGUCACAAUGACCCAAAUAACACUGACCCACACAAGACAUGAAUAACAUUAUCAUAAAUUAUUUUAAAAUGGAUGUAAAGGAAAUGGUGUUUAGAAAGCUGAACUAUGUCUUAAAGGAGGAGCGGUUGGCAGCUAUCAAGGCUUUCCUCGAAGGAAGAGAUGUUUUCAUAGUGCUACCCACUGGCUAUGGAAAGUCUUUGUGUUAUAUGUCUCUUCCAAGUCUUAUUGACCAUUCAGUAAUUUACCACAUCUCUGCACCUUUCUGCUGCUGGAUCACAUCUGUUUUUGCUCUCUUUGCUUAAGUCUUUACCACAGCCUAAACAUACAACGACGGUCAUGUUUACACACGUAUGGGCGGUGCUCAUUUUCAGCCCCACCUAUAUGCAUGCUGUCAGCUCCACCCGUGACACAAAACUAGCUACCGUACUGAACCUGACUCUCUGUUUUUCCGCGAGAGGCAGGAUCCACCUGACUAGGACAGGACCAUAUUCCACAAUUAGUAACGAAACAAUACAAUAUUGAUUACACAAUCUCGCUAAAGCCACAUCCAUUACCGACAUUUUAUAAAGUAGAGGACAUUGUAUUAUUAAUGCAGUUCAUUUAUGUUGACCUCCUUAACCUGUUUGACUGGUUUAACAGUUAGUGGAGUACAUGUACAUGUAUACAUGUAGUCUUCCUUUUUGUAGAAUUGCUGUCAAAUGAUGUCAAGUUAUUUUUUAUGCCAAGAUUUGAGCGUAAAGAUAGAAAGGAUAAUUUGAUACCAGCGUCAAUGUGCAACAUUAUGGAAUCAUUAAUAUCAUUUUAUAAACCAUUAUCACUUCCUAGACUUGCUUCUGUUACUAAAGAGCUGGCAGUUUUCAAGACAAUACAGCAACUGUAUCAUACAUGAUAGUAACAAGAAUAGACAGUAUUAAUUGGCACUCUCGUGAUUCAGAGGCCAUUCUUGUUCACUUGUGUCAUUUUGUUCCUGACAGUCACACCACAUCCUCUCCUGAUACAGUAAACAGUACAGGAAGACAUCAUUGACCACACAAGCACAAACAGCAGGAAGGAACAAGAUAUACAUGUAGCAGGAAACAUACGAGGGAGACUGUUGUUGAGCUUCGAAGCAGUUCUAGUUAUCAUUUCACAGGAAUAUUCACUGACUGCACACAACUGGCUCUACUCUGCCCCCAGUUGUCUUCUCAUUUAUUGUUUCAUUUAUUUUUGGUAGAUUUGGAGGCUGGUAUUAAUUAUAAGUUUAAAGACAGGAGUCUUCUAGAAGUUAGAAGAAAGAUAGAGAGAGAGAGAGAGAGAUGAUUAUGAUUUUCUAUUAUUCAGUUAGCCCUGACCCACACUUCCUUCAUUACUCAAUACAAUGGUUCUCGGCCCCUACCUAAUGAAAUACUCAUAUCAUUAUCAAACUGUGGUACAAGGGCUCAUGUUUCCACAGCAACAGGUAAGGCCCCACCCUCAAAGAGACCAAAGAGCAGAAUAGAAGGAUUGACAGAAGCUGCUGAAACCAGUCGUGAGAAAUACAAGGAGGAUGAAGGAGAUGUUGUAUUACCAAGAGAUAAGAGAGACUUGAGUUUCUUGGAGAUGCUGUAAUUGAGUUUUUGUGUAGUAUUCAGUUAUAUCUCAUGUUUCCCUCUUUCACUGAUUCUCAUCUUGUUAUCUUCAGAAAGGCUCUAAUAUGUAACCAGAACCUAGCCAGUGUUGCCAAAAGAAUACAUCUUGAGAAAUAUUUAUUAAUGGAUGUCAAUUUCAAAAAUGCUGAUAUAAAUCACAUAUAUGCUAAUACUUUGAAGCACUCGUUGGUGCUGUAUAUAAAGACUCUGAUAUUAACACAUCCACACUUCUCUUCCCUGAAGAAGAUCUAAGAGAGAUAUGGCUCUCUGAGUAUAAGGAUCAACUACAGGUGGACUGAUGGAGAUAGGCACGUGGUUAAUGAGUAUCCCAUUUUAAAUUCUUUCAAUAAACUUGAGGAAUCCAUUUGAGUUAGAUUCACCAAUAUUAGAUUGCUAGCCAGAGCUAUUACCCAUCCAUCAUAUGGAUGUACCGAUGACAACUCCCACAUGUGGAAACAGUAUAUUUUUCUAUAAAUGCACCUAAAGAAUAAAUAUAAUAUAUGCAACAACAAAAAUGUACCCAACAGAUAAGUGUAUUAAUUUCUGACUAGUUAAAGAUACCAUACACCAUAGUGACUAUACACACAAA
rnacentral:lncRNA from 1 species